UACGGGGGGAGCAAGCGUUGUUCGGAUUUACUGGGCGUAAAGGGCGCGUAGGCGGCCAGCACAAGUCAGUUGUGAAAUCUCCGGGCUUAACUCGGAAAGGUCGACUGAUACUGUGCGGCUAGAGUGCAGAAGGGGCAACUGGAAUUCUCGGUGUAGCGGUGAAAUGCGCAGAUAUCGAGAGGAACACCGGUGGCGAAGGCGGCAUCCUGGACCGGCAUUGACGCUGAGGCGCGAAAGCCAGGGGAGCAAACGGG
rnacentral:rRNA from 1 species